GACGAACGCUGGCGGCGUGCUUAACACAUGCAAGUCGAACGGAAAGGCCCUGCUUUUGUGGGGUGCUCGAGUGGCGAACGGGUGAGUAACACGUGAGUAACCUGCCCUUGACUUUGGGAUAACUUCAGGAAACUGGGGCUAAUACCGGAUAGGAGCUCCUGAUGCAUGGGGGGGGUUGGAAAGAUUCGGCGGUUGGGGAUGGACUCGCGGGUUAUCAGCUUGUUGGUGGGGUAGCGGGUGACAAAGGCUUUGAGGGGUAGGCGGCCUGAGAGGGGGACCGGCCACAGUGGAACUGAGACACGGUCCAGACUCCUACGGGAGGCAGCAGUAGGGAAUCCUCCGCAAUGGGCGAAAGCCUGACGGAGCACCGCCGCGUGAGUGAUGAUGGUCUUCGGAUCGUAAAACUCUGUUAUUAGGGAAGAACAAAUGUGUAAGUAACUAUGCACGUCUUGACGGUACCUAAUCAGAAAGCCACGGCUAACUACGUG
rnacentral:rRNA from 1 species